rnacentral:rRNA from 1 species
AGUGAACGCUGGCGGCGUGCCUAAUACAUGCAAGUCGAACGGAGUGGCGCACGGGUGUGUAAGGUAUAGCUAAUCUGCCCUCCACUAGCGGGCAACCGUUGGCAACGGCUGCUAAUACUCCAUAGUGUAGGAUGAGGCUAUAUUGUAUCAGCUAGUUGGUGAGGUAAUGGCUCACCAAGGCUAUCACGCAUAACAGGUCUGAGAGGAUGAUCAGUCACACGGGAACGGAGCCACGGUACGGACUGCUACGGGAAGGAGCGGUAGUGAAUAUUGCUCAAUGGGGGAAGCCCUGAAGGAGCAAGGCGGCGUGAGGGAUGACACUUUUCGGAGAGUAAACUCCUUUUGGUAGGGAAGCGGUACCUAACGAAUAAGCACCGGCUAACUCCGUGCCAGCAGCCGCGGUAAUAC